UACAGAGGGUGCGAGCGUUGUUCGGAAUUAUUGGGCGUAAAGGGCGCGUAGGCGGUGCGGUAAGUCACCUGUGAAAUCCCCUGGCUCAACUGGGAGCUUGCAGGCGAAACUGCCGUGCUGGAGUGUGGGAGAGGUGAGUGGAAUUCCCGGUGUAGCGGUGAAAUGCGUAGAUAUUAGGAAGAACACCGGUGGCGAAGGCGGCUCUCUGGAACGGUACUGACGCUGAGACGCGAAAGCGUGGGGAGCGAACAGG
rnacentral:rRNA from 1 species